rnacentral:lncRNA from 1 species
AGAUGGUAGCUUCUCGUGCUCAAUCUGGCCGUUAGGAUUGUUGACAGUGAUCACCUGGCUGAACAUGCACCUUAUUCUCCUUUUUACCCUUCCAAACGCAAUAAAUAAAAAGCAGGUAUAAAGCCCACAAAAUGUAGAGCAAUGACCGUUAUUGCAUUUAUUUCUUUUACACUUGAGGGUUAUAAUGUGUAGGAGAUUCACCCGCAAGACGUACCGCUGGGGACUAUCAACUGAGUUCACACGAGCUCCUCAGAUAAAGGAGCUCGAUGAUGAUAGGGGGGACAAUUGUUACUGGGUCGGAUCAAAGAAAUGUCCGCUUUCUUAAUUUCAAUGCCUUCGACUUUAAGCCUUUGACUGAAGGAAUAAUGUGACAGUCGCUUGAG